AUGGCAGAUUUUCUGAAUUACAUGAAAAAGCAUCCUGUUCAGAAACCUGUUCGAACCCUUUUUGGAAAAAUGUCCAUGUCGUCCAACAGCCGUUGGCCACCACCGUCCCCCAGAACCUGGGUGCCUGCAGCUCCUUGGCUCCCACCCAGGAAACACCACUCCAACAGCUACAAUGGUCCACCUAACUUCAACAGGCCUUCUACAACAACACCUUUCAACAGGCCCGUGGAAACACCACCCCUCAAAGUGGCUACAUCCACCACCUCUCCUAUUGUUCGGCAGUCGUUCCUCGUCGUCAUCAAGUGUGUGGCACCCAGUCCAUGGUCCGGUCCAGUGCAGGCGACAGAUGGGGGAGAGGAAAAAAUGCACGAGCAGGGAGCCACUGGUCCCCUUAAGUUGCAAGGUCAUUGACAGCAGGGUGUGACGUGGUCCUGGUGAUGUGAUGAUAGCGGCAGUGGUCUUCCUUCUCCAGCAGCCGACCCAGAGUCGUCUUCUUCGUUGGGGUUUAACGGUGGUUGGCAUCCAAUAGAAUGUUGCAGUACCUCCAACUGUAUUUCUACUUCAUCUGCUACAUACUGUAUACUACUCUACCCACUGUAUACUACACUACUCACCCCUAGCCCACUAUCCAUACUACAGAGUUCUUCCAACAUCUUCUGUAGAUUCUCUGCAGUUACGUUUCGGACUUCCAGAAAACAUCUGUCCACUUUCACAAUAAUGGCAAUUCUCUCAGACCUAUUUUCUACUUGCGCAUCACAAUUCACGACCAUCGCGGCCAAGAACCUGGAUUUAUCAACACACAGUUUUUGGGGUCCACACACUGACAUGGGAACAUUCACUAUUGCCAUUGGCCCUUCAAAGCAACAGAGGGAGUGUUCCCUCCCUCUCCACCCUCAACCCUUCUCACUGCCUCUCCAUGCGUAACACCCUGUCCUACUCUGACCUCAGCUACCUGUAUCCGUUUCACUAACCGGGCAUUCUGUGGACCUGGCUUCAUGACUACCUAAACAGUUACUACUACGCCGCCGGGGCUCGUCCUCCAGACAUCCACCACAUCUCGACUGUACCAUCUUGCACACUGACGCUACAUGCCCAAACUUCUGGCUGCGAAAACACUAGGGAGAUGUUAGAGCAUGUGCUAAUCAGGGAGAACCUCCAACUCAAGGCACAGCAUCACGGCCAGACUGUCCUCCCUCCAGCCACCUCGAUUUCUGGUUAAUCGUCAGGCUCCACACAUGCCAGGAACCUUCGUAAGUUGCUCAACCUAUAUGUAUAGGCACUGUUAUCACCCGCUUGAGAGGAUCUCUUUUCUAGUUUACUCUCCACCCACCCCGAUAACUCAAAUUGAUCAGACAAAACCCCAUGCUUGACUUUGUCCUUGAAUUGCACUCCAAUUAUCGAAGAAUCCUCGUGGACACAUCAUGGAUUUCUGUUUCCUGACUCUGUUUCCUUUCCACUCUUCCUCAUUCUCUUCAACUCCCUCAAACUCCAUUUCACUCCCUCCGUGAUCCUUAUUAACAUAGGCAUUGCAAAAUAUCUUAAAUGAAAGAUCACUGCAAACUCAAAAAAAGUUAUUAAUACACACAAAAAGGAAUGAUCU
rnacentral:lncRNA from 8 species